CCUGAAACAUUCACGCAAGUUUCUAUAUAUAACAUGCAAUGGGUAAGAAUAGUUACGUCGAAAUAUAUUGAAGAAAAAUACGUGGAAGAUUAACGGACGAGAAGAUAAGAAAAUUGAAUGGAAAUGAUAUAGAAAAUUAAGAUCAUUGCAACGUUCUACGAUUAUCGUUGGUUUUGUUUGAAUUCGUUGAUUUCCCGCCACUUUUAAAAUGGCGUCCCCGAGUGGUCCAUCGCAUACGUAGUAAUAUAAAAGCUUGUCCUAAACGAGAUAGAGAGAACGAUAUAGGUGGUCUAGAUAAUUAUUUUCUCCUUUCUUUUCUACGAAAGUCGAUAAAAUCCAUUCCUUUCUUGCAAGGGUAUAUUUAGGUUUUUUAAAGAAAGAAAAAAAAAAAAGAAAAAAGAAGAAGAAAAGAAAAGACGAACACAUCGUAUUUCAAAAGUUAAACGGUUUCGCGCGUUCCUCAUUUUUAUGAUUGAAACGUUAAAAGUGUUGGUAUCGAUAGAAACAAUGAGAUGAAGAAUUAUAUGCUAAACAGAAUUCGUCUUCUUUCAUUCGCAGAUGUUUCGCGUAAGAAUCCGCGUAAAUUGCUUAGGAAUGACUAACAAGAAGCGCCGUCCACUUAUACACGUGAAUCAUUCGCUUUAAUAAAUAUCUCUGUAACGUGUUGAAAAACUUAAAUGUUGUUUCUCUCGUACGCGCGCGCCAAGAAUGUUUCUAUGAAAACUGCAAAAUGACGCUUCUUUCUCUAUUUACUUGAAUAAAUCCGAAUGGGGAACGAUGGAACGCAAAAUUCGCUAAGACGGCGGCGUCCGUCGUUGUUACUGACCGUUCGCAAAAGGCUAAAAGAAGAAAAAAAAAACAAAAACCAAAAAAAAAAACGAGAAGAAAAAAAGAGCUGAAAAACAAUGGUCCAUCACGUAUGGAAGAAUAAGAGAGAAGAGGAAAGAUCCAACGAUGACGUAGGAGGAGAGAGAAAGGGAUAUUUAAUGUAGCAGCAUGCUUGGAGCUCGCGUUGGCGAGGGUGAGAGAGGGAGAGAGAGACAGGAAGAGAGAGAAGGGGAGAAGAAAAAGAGAAAGAUAUAGUGGUACAAGGAGAGGAGUGGGAGCAGAGCCAAGCUGUCUGCUGACUCUUGCGAUCUCCGAGUGCCGAGGAGGCGAGCGCUCCUACGACGGACAUUAAGUAAUAUCUCGAAGUCCUUUCUUCGAACGGCUUCAACACAGCCACACGACGUGCCGCCGACUCGUUUUUCAAGGACAAUGGAUUUAUCCGCGAACGCAUUCGCGCGGAAAAGGCGUCACGCUCGCAUUCCACACGUUGCAGCAUUAUGCCAACAACAUCAAAAGAGAGGCUGCUGUUGUUGCUGAUCUUUGGUCUACCUACCGUCGUUUCAACGAACGACCUGCGAAAAAGCGUCCUCGAGAUAAUAACGUCACUUAAGAUCUAGCGGUCUCUUUCUCUCUCUUUUUUUCUCUUUCCUUCUCUCUCUCUCUCUCUCUCUCUCUCUCUCUCUCUCUCUCUUUUUUCUCUCUUUCUCUCUCUGCACCCUAUCCUCCCCUAUCGUUUUCUAUCUCACAAGUCUAGCCGAGUCAAGGUACUCAGGGAUAAUAAUGAGAUCUAGGAAACUUCGUGCACACAAUCUAUCGAUUAUCAUUUCUACAUGAAAGAGAAGAAGAUACGCGCUUGUUACGUGUUGUGUAAAGUCAUCAACACGGAGGGAGGAGGAUUGGCAGGAGUAGGAGCAGGAGCAGGAACAGGAGCAGGAGCAGGAGUAGCAGCAGCAGCAGCAGCAGCAGCAGCAGCAGCAGCAGCAGAAGCAGCAACAGCAACAGCGAGCACGUCAUCGUCCAAAGUAAUCUGGUCCGUGAGAAGAGAUACUAAACGGACAACGACGAAGAUGACGACAAAGACGACGAUGAUGAUAAGAUGAAGGAAGUGGGUCGAAGUGGGAUCUUGGACGAAGAUGAAAAUGAAAAAGAUAUUCGUAAAAACGAGAUAGAUAGAUAGAUACAUAGAGACAGAGAAAGACAGAGAAGGAGAGAGAGAGAGAGAGAGAGAGAGAGAGAGAGAGAGAGAGAGAGAGAGAGAAAGGAUUCUUCCUACCGUCCGCCAUCCUCCCGUUAUAUUAUCCUCUUCCUCUCGUACUCGCAAACGCGUUAAAAAUCGUUCGCUCACCUAACUCUCUUCAAUCGUAAGUCCGUAGUACGAGCAGCCACGACAUCUCAACGAGUCCCGUACACCGCAAACUCGUAAGCUCACUCUCUCGCACUCGUAGGCACACUCAGUACCACCACUGUAAACUUUUCUCUCUCUAUCUCUCUCUCUCUCUCUCCCGUUUUCUCUCUCUCUCUCUCUCUCUCUAUGUCUCUCUCUCUCUUUCUCUUUCUUUCUCUCUCUCUCUCUCUCUCUCUUUCUCUCUCUCUCUCUCUCUCUCUCUCUCCACGCGAAUCUCCCACGGGCCGAAUGUAAAAAGCGCGAAAAGGCACUUUCGAACGAGUGAGAAGGAACUCGGUGGUGGUAUUCCUCUUCUUAUUAUUAUUCUUCGUAUCUUUUCUUUUCUUCUCUUGUGUCUUCUUUUUUUAUUCGAAAAUCUCCGAGAGUCUCAAUUAUUUAUAUUCCACUCCCUUUUCCACGGAGCAGCAGCAUGCUACUACACAACUAUGGGUUUCCAGCCGUCGUCUCUCCACAGGUAUCUCUCUCUCUCGCUCUCCCUCCCUCACUCCCUCCCUCCCUCCCUUCCUCCUUUUUCUCCCGUUCUCCUCCUCCUCCUCCUCCUCCUGCUCCUGCCCCCACACCCACCGAUACACACUGGCACGCACGUCGGUUAUAUUCCUCUGCGAGUCGAGCGAGCGAGCGCUUGAAUCGUAUAUCGCGAGUCAAGAGUCGUAACGACGAACCUGUCGUAUCCGCGAUUCCUACGUGUCUCUCUCUCUCUCUCUCUCUCUUUCUUUCUCUUUCUCUUUUUCUAUCUAUAUCUGUCUCUAUCUAUCUAUCUAACGCGUUUUCACCUGCGUCCGUAUAAAUAUAGAUGCGUAAGUCGAUCCGACAGCCCGAGUUUCACCGCGACGUGUGACGACAUUCGUAUAUAAGAGGGAGAAAAAGAGAGAGAGAGAGGUAGAUAGAGAGAGAGAGAGAGAGAGAGAGAGAGAGAGAGAGAGAAAAAGAGAAAGAGAGAAAGAUAGAGAGAUUGACAUAAACGUAUCUCUCGAAAAGAAUUGUAACUUAUAAUCGCGAUCUUAGAAAUUUGUUGAGAACGAAAAACGAUGACGAUACGUCGUCACGAAGCAAUGUGUCGAGAGCUGUGGCCCCUUCGAUCCAACCUACUCAGGCCCGUUCGCCAACAGCUUCGUCCUCCUUCCCCUUUUCCUUCUCUUCACUACUCUACUCUCUGCUCUUUCCCUCCUUCCUUCCUUGACCACCUCUGUUGCCGCCGGCCGGCCCGCCGAGCGGAUCCGAUCCCCUCCGUUAAAACCCUCCCCGAUCCUCUUGGCGGCCCCUCGCCGUCUCCGACAAGACCAAUCGUCUCAUCUUCUUUCUUCAACCACCAACUCUUCUCCUCUCUCUUUCUCUUUUUUUUUCUCUCUUUCUUUCUAACAGCUCCUUCAAAAUCUUCUCUAUGGUAUCGGCCAAACGUUUUACGAAUGAAUCAUCUCCUCUUUAACUUAAUAUGUAACAUGGUGAAUAUGAGAUCGAGUUACAUUCUUCAAAAUAUGAGAUAUUAUCUUUAAAUUAGGAAGCGAUUUCUAUUUAUUCAUAGAUGGCGUGUUCAGGAUUUUCUAUGUGUACAUGGAGAAAGUUAUGGGGUUUUCCGUCUAGAUAUUCUUUCCUUUGUACAACUCCUUCCUAUGAAUCAGUUCAGUAUGACUAAUGUCAAUCUUUAAACAACGGUACUAUUGCUUCUAUGAUAUCUACUUAGGUACUUAUGUCUGGCUACGGUCUAUUUGACGAACUAUCGUUUAGGUGUAGAUGUGACGGAGUAAACAUUGUGUGCCUUGUGAAAAUUGAUAAUUUUAUAGAUUUUUGUUCGACACGAAUCGUUUUAAUAUAGCCGAGGUAUUUGUAGAAGAGAAUUCAAUUAAUAAGAUAAUUUAUAAUAAUAAAAACAAUGUAUUGUUUUACUUUUGCAAUAAAUAAGGAUAGAGUUAUCAAAGUUAUUAAACUGUAGUAACAAGAGAAUAAGACUUAUAAAACUGAAAUAUCUAAUGAAAGACUAUAAUAGAUUUCUCUCUAUUCAAUCGAUGGACGACUACCAUUUAGUUGGUCCUGUACCAAUGCUUGCUCCAGUUGUUGAUGCUAUGAAAGGAUUCGUCGAAGCAGCUAGGAGGAAAAAUUUAGUUAGAUAUAAAAUUUGGUCUAUCCUC